GAUGAACGCUGGCGGCGUGCCUAAUACAUGCAAGUCGAGCGAACAGACGAGAAGCUUGCUUCUCUGACGUUAGCGGCGGACGGGUGAGUAACACGUGGAUAACCUACCUAUAAGACUGGGAUAACUUCGGGAAACCGGAGCUAAUACCGGAUAAUAUUUUGAACCGCAUGGUUCAAUAGUGAAAGACGGUUUUGCUGUCACUUAUAGAUGGAUCCGCGCUGCAUUAGCUAGUUGGUAAGGUAACGGCUUACCAAGGCAACGAUGCAUAGCCGACCUGAGAGGGUGAUCGGCCACACUGGAACUGAGACACGGUCCAGACUCCUACGGGAGGCAGCAGUAGGGAAUCUUCCGCAAUGGGCGAAAGCCUGACGGAGCAACGCCGCGUGAGUGAUGAAGGUCUUCGGAUCGUAAAACUCUGUUAUUAGGGAAGAACAAAUGUGUAAGUAACUGUGCACAUCUUGACGGUACCUAAUCAGAAAGCCACGGCUAACUACGUG
rnacentral:rRNA from 1 species